UCCUCAAUGGGUCAGGAGGGGAAAAGGUGGAGGUCGUUGGGAGAUGGUUGGCCGCCAGAUCCCCUCUCCUAUAUGACGUUGGAGAUAAAAUCCCCGUGAAUUUAGGUUAGGGCCUGCCAAAUUUAGUCACAGUUAAAGAUGUUAAUGCUGAUGCUGUUUUUGUUGCUUGCCUCAUGGAAGAACACAUGGUUCUUCUAUCAGGAAAUUAUUAGAGAUUUACCGUACCCAAGCAGAUUGUUGAUCUCUCCGCGG